rnacentral:lncRNA from 1 species
AUAGGAGUAUUAUAAAUACCCUAUCAUGUUAGAGAUUUUCAAGGGGGGGGAGACAUUCUGACAAUUCAUUCAUCUCCUUACAAUUAAGACAUCUUCCUACAACCCAUUCUCAAUUCUUCAUUCUUCUACUCUUAAAUUCCACAACAAGAGAAUCGUUACUUGCUACGGAAUCACUAAAACCACACGCCAAAUACCUACUAUUCACGCCAUCCACCAUGCAAAACGUGAUAUCCUUCGCAUUCAUGGGUAACUAAAUCUCUUAGUUGGGGUUAUGGAAGCCGAAUGAGUUACUAUCUAUAGCUAUGAGUUUGUGAGUUCAAGACAAGUAUAUUGCUUAUAUCAUUAUUCUCUUCAUCUUAAAUCUACAUUCUUUGCGGUUCAAACACAAGAACACGCCAUUCUAACAUCUAACCUGUUCGAGAGAAAGGUUAUUUGUCUAGAAAAGAAGACGCAUAGACCAACGCCAGUCUAACAUCUGACUUGUUCGAGAGAAAAGUUAUUUGUCUGGAAAAGAGAUAAUGUCAAGGUAGUAGGACACCCUUUCCUAUUAAAAAGCUAGUGCCGUACCUGGACUAACUUCUUGGAGAAUUCGUAC